rnacentral:rRNA from 1 species
UACGUAGGGGGCGAGCGUUGUCCGGAUUCAUUGGGCGUAAAGCGCUUUAAGGCGGUUCGCUAAGUCGGGUGUGAAACCUCCAGGCUCAACCUGGAGACGCCACUCGAUACUGGCGUGACUAGAGUUCGGUAGGGGACCACGGAAUUCCUGGUGUAGCGGUGAAAUGCGCAGAUAUCAGGAGGAACACCAGUGGCGAAGGCGGUGGUCUGGGCCGAUACUGACGCUGUAGAGCGAAAGCGAGGGGAGCGAACAGG